GAGGGUAUAGCUCAAGUGGUAGAGCGCAUGCCUAGCAUGCAUGAGGUCCUGGGUUCAAUCCCCAGCACCUCCU
rnacentral:tRNA from 1 species